UACGUAGGUGGCAAGCGUUGUCCGGAAUUAUUGGGCGUAAAGGGUGCGUAGGCGGUUUUUUAAGUGGGAUGUGAAAUACCUGGGCUUAACUCAGGGAUUGCAUUCCAAACUGGAAAACUAGAGUGCAGGAGAGGAAAGUGGAAUUCCCAGUGUAGCGGUGAAAUGCGUAGAGAUUGGGAGGAACACCAGUGGCGAAGGCGACUUUCUAGACUGUAACUGACGCUGAGGCUCGAAAGCGUGGGGAGCAAAC
rnacentral:rRNA from 1 species